GUGGUUUAAUUCGAAGCAACGCGAAGACUUACCAGGUCUUGUACAUCCCGAUGCUAUUUCUAGAGAUAGAAAGUUACUUCGGUACAUCGGUGACAGGUGGUGCAUGGUUGUCGUCAGCUCGUGUCGUGAGAUGUUGGGUUAAGUCCCGCAACGAGCGCAACCCCUAUUGUUAGUUGCCAUCAUUCAGUUGGGCACUCUAGCGAGACUGCCGGUAAUAAACCGGAGGAAGGUGGGGAUGACGUCAAAUCAUCAUGCCCCUUAUGACCUGGGCUACACACGUGCUACAAUGGUUGGUACAACGAGUUGCGAGUCGGUGACGGCGAGCUAAUCUCUUAAAGCCAAUCUCAGUUCGGAUUGUAGGCUGCAACUCGCCUACAUGAAGUCGGAAUCGCUAGUAAUCGCGGAUCAGCACGCCCGCGGUCGAAUACGUUCCGGGCCUU
rnacentral:rRNA from 1 species